rnacentral:rRNA from 1 species
UACGGGGGGGGCAAGCGUUGUUCGGAAUUACUGGGCGUAAAGGGCUCGUAGGUGGCCAACUAAGUCAGACGUGAAAUCCCUCGGCUUAACCGGGGAACUGCAUCUGAUACUGGAUGGCUUGAGUUUGGGAGAGGGACGCGGAAUUCCAGGUGUAGCGGUGAAAUGCGUAGAUAUUAGGAGGAACACCAGUGGCGAAGGCGGCUUACUGGACUGUAACUGACGUUGAGGCUCGAAAGCGUGGGGAAGCCAAACAGGG